CGCUGGCGGCAGGCCUAACACAUGCAAGUCGAGCGGGGUUUCGGACCUAGCGGCGGACGGGUGAGUAAUGCGUAGGAAGCUACCGAUAGAGGGGGUACCAGUUGGAAACGACUGUUAAUACCGCAUAAUGUCUACGGACCAAAGUGUGGGACCUUCGGGCCACAUGCUAUCGGAUGCGCCUACGUGGGAUUAGCUAGUUGGUGAGGUAAUGGCUCACCAAGGCGACGAUCUCUAGCUGGUUUGAGAGGAUGAUCAGCCACACUGGAACUGAGACACGGUCCAGACUCCUACGGGAGGCAGCAGUGGGGAAUAUUGGACAAUGGGCGCAAGCCUGAUCCAGCCAUGCCGCGUGUGUGAAGAAGGCCUUCGGGUUGUAAAGCACUUUCAGCGAGGAGGAAGAGUUGUGUGUUAAUAGUACACAGCUUUGACGUUACUCGCAGAAGAAGCACCGGCUAACUCUGUG
rnacentral:rRNA from 1 species